rnacentral:rRNA from 2 species
AGACCCGAAACCCGGUGAUCUAGCCAUGGGCAGGUUGAAGGUUGGGUAACACUAACUGGAGGACCGAACCGACUAAUGUUGAAAAAUUAGCGGAUGACCUGUGGCUGGGGGUGAAAGGCCAAUCAAACCGGGAGAUAGCUGGUUCUCCCCGAAAGCUAUUUAGGUAGCGCCUCGUGAAUUCAUCUCCGGGGGUAGAGCACUGUUUCGGCUAGGGGGCCAUCCCGGCUUACCAACCCGAUGCAAACUGCGAAUACCGGAGAA